GACGAACGCUGGCGGCGUGCUUAACACAUGCAAGUCGAACGGAAAGGCCUGCUUUCCCUUGUGGAUUGCGGGUACUCGAGUGGCGAACGGGUGAGUAACACGUGAGUGAUCUGCCCCCAACUUGGGUAUAAGCCUGGGAAACUGGGUCUAAUUCCCGAUAGGACUGCAGGGUGGUGCCUGUGGUGGAAAACGAUUUUCUAGUGGUUGGGGAUGAGCUCGCGGCCUAUCAGCUUGUUGGUGGGGUAAUGGCCUACCAAGGCGGCGACGGGUCGCCGGCCUGGGAGGGUGGACGGCCACAUUGGGACUGGGAUACGACCCAGACGCCUACGGGAGGCAGGGGUGGGGAAUAAUGGACAAUGGGCGGGAGCCUGAUGCAGCGACGCCGCGUGGGGGAUGACGGCCUUCGAGUUGUAAGCUCCUUUCGAACGCGAGGAGGCCACCUAGUUGGAAGGGUGGUGACGGUAGUGGUAGAAGAAGCACCGGCUAACUACGUG
rnacentral:rRNA from 1 species